GCUGGAAUAGUUUAAUUAAAAUUUUAAUUUGUGGAGUUAGAGAUGUAUAUUUAUACUUUUGGCC
rnacentral:tRNA from 1 species